rnacentral:rRNA from 1 species
UAACGCGUGGGAACGUGCCCUUUGGUUCGGAACAACACAGGGAAACUUGUGCUAAUACCGGAUGUGCCCUUCGGGGGAAAGAUUUAUCGCCAUUGGAGCGGCCCGCGUUGGAUUAGGUAGUUGGUGGGGUAAUGGCCCACCAAGCCUACGAUCCAUAGCUGGUCUGAGAGGAUGAUCAGCCACACUGGGACUGAGACACGGCCCAGACUCCUACGGGAGGCAGCAGUAGGGAAUCUUGCGCAAUGGGCGAAAGCCUGACGCAGCCAUGCCGCGUGAAUGAUGAAGGUCUUAGGAUUGUAAAAUUCUUUCACCGGGGAAGAUAAUGACGGUACCCGGAGAAGAAGCCCCGGCUAACUUCGUGCCAGCAGCCGCGGUAAUACGAAGGGGGCUAGCGUUGCUCGGAAUUACUGGGCGUAAAGGGCGCGUAGGCGGAUAGUUUAGUCAGAGGUGAAAGCCCAGGGCUCAACCUUGGAACUGCCUUUGAUACUGGCUAUCUUGAGUUCGGGAGAGGUGAGUGGAAUGCCGAGUGUAGAGGUGAAAUUCGUAGAUAUUCGGCGGAACACCAGUGGCGAAGGCGACUCACUGGCCCGAUACUGACGCUGAGGCGCGAAAGCGUGGGGAGCAAACAGGAUUAGAUA